UAGAGACAGAGUUUCACUAUGUUGCCCAGGCUGGUCUGGAACUCCUGGGCUCAAGCAAUCCCCUCACUUCAGCCUGCCAAAGUGCUGGGAUUACAGGCGUGAGCCACUACAUCCGGCCACAUCUUUCAUUGUUAGAAUCAUCUAUGAUGUGUCUGCAUUUUUAAGAUCACACUGUAUUUUAAAACCUAGUUUGCACAUUUGUGAUUCUAGAGAGAGACGACGACGAAGAAGCAGGAGUGGAACAAGAUCUCCUAAAAAGCCUCGGUCUCCUAAAAGAAAAUUGUCUCGCUCACCAUCCCCUAGGAGACAUAAAAAGGAGAAGAAGAAAGAUAAAGACAAAGAAAGAAGUAGGGAUGAAAGAGAACGAUCAACAAGCAAGAAGAAGAAGAGUAAAGAUAAGGAAAAGGACCGGGAAAGAAAAUCAGAGAGUGACAAAGAUGUAAAACAGGUUACACGGGAUUAUGAUGAAGAGGAACAGGGAUAUGACAGUGAGAAAGAGAAAAAAGAAGAGAAGAAACCAAUAGAAACAGGUUCCCCUAAAACAAAGGAAUGCUCUGUGGAAAAGGGAACUGGUGAUUCACUAAGAGAAUCCAAAGUGAAUGGGGAUGAUCAUCAUGAAGAAGACAUGGAUAUGAGUGACUGAAUAUUGCCUCUGAGGGAAUCCAACUGUAUACCUGCAUCAGUGUCAUUCCUUUGUGUGAUUUCUUAAUGCUGUAUUUGUUCAUCUCAAACCUAGAUGUAUACAGCUCUGAGUUAUAAAUGGUUAUAAAGCUCCUGUUACUGA
rnacentral:sRNA from 1 species